UACGUAGGGCGCAAGCGUUAUCCGGAAUUAUUGGGCGUAAAGAGCUCGUAGGCGGUCUGUCACGUCGGCUGUGAAAACCCGAGGCUCAACCUCGGGCCUGCAGUCGAUACGGGCAAACUAGAGUACUGCAGGGGAGACUGGAAUUCCUGGUGUAGCGGUGAAAUGCGCAGAUAUCAGGAGGAACACCGGUGGCGAAGGCGGGUCUCUGGGCAGUAACUGACGCUGAGGAGCGAAAGCGUGGGGAGCGAACAGG
rnacentral:rRNA from 1 species